GCUGGGAUUAAGGUGUGCACCAUCGCGCCUGGCCUAACAGGACAUUUUUAAAAGAUUGAGUCAGAGUUUCUUCUCAGUUUGUGACAGCCUGGAGCUGAUUUAAUUCCAGCCAAAGCUUGCUGUACAGAACCAAAGAGGCUGAAUACUUUCCACCAAAAGGAGGACCUGGCACGGUUGGGUUCCACUUGCAGGGCAUUCAAG